rnacentral:misc_RNA from 1 species
CAGUUUUCUCAGUGGUUGAUUAUAGUAUCAUACAUUAUAUUCUUAAAUAACCUAGCCUUAGAGAUAAAUCUCUGCAAUCAAUUCUUGAUAAAUUUAAAUAACGAAUUUAUUAACCUGACUGUUGUGAUCCUGACUUUACAUUUCUUCGACUCUGGGAGCUAUGAUCUGUUUGAUGAUGUUAGGUCUUGCUCUAGAUAUAUAUGUAUAUAUGAACAUGUCUGUGAAGCUUUUAUUAUUCUGAAGGUAAGAGUAAUACAAUGUGGAGGAUAAUGCAUCGCUGAUUUGAGAAUAAAAAAAAAGAACAAAAUUCAGCAAAGUAGUACCUUCUAAUGACGGUGUCAUCCAGUGAAAUAUCUCUUGAUGAUGAAACCAUGAAGUUUUGAAUGGAAUCGAUGGUGCAAAUAUGAUCUCUUUAUGUGACUGAGACUGUAUUGCUUAUCUUCAACUUCAUGUUCUUAAGUUGAGUUAUUACUCUAAGGCCAUCCUGCUAGACUGGAUUAAGUGAAAGGAGAUCAUUAAUUUUCACUUUUGAUAAUAAAUGCCUUUAAUGUGAGUUAUUCUUUUGUUGUUUGAAUGCGUACUUGAUGUUGUAAUAAAAUUAGUAGUCAUCUUUUGCUAAUAAAUAUUUGGCAAUGCUUUGUCAGUUGUCUAUGUGCUGUGAAAUGCAUUAUGAAAAUUAACCUUUUUUUUUUUCCUGAGAGCAGCUUAAUAGGAAUUGGUUUCUGCCUGAGGAGGCUUCUCUUAAACGG